AUAAGCGUAUUCUUAAGCAAAUAAAAAUUAAUAAUCAAAGGUUUAGAGAAAAUGAUGGCGAACCUUAUUUAUAAUAUACUCCUAAUAAUGAACAAAAUUUCUGUAGCUAACCAUCUGAUGAUCUGAUCCGCCGGAUAAAACUGGACGGUCGGAUCGGCGCGUCUCCCACUCUCCUCGCGACCUCGCCGAAACCUCACUUCCAACUCCAAAGUCCUAACCCCACGAACCCCGAAGCCGAUCCAUGGCGGCGGCGGCGGGUUGGCUCCGGCGAGCGGCAUCAGCGGCGGCGUUGCCUCGCCUACCUUCUGGAAUCACCCUCACGCCAAGCCUUCCCCCUCUGCUCUCUCCGAGGCUCAGCCGAUGUGCUCCCCGGCCUUGGCGCCGCCAUCGCCCCUGCUAUGGAACUCAUGGCCGUCCCCAAGAAGAAGAAGAAAUGGCGUUCACCUAAUUCUUAUUUGUUGCUGACAUGGACGCUUUGGGUAGAGGCCAGUGAAGAUUUCAUUAAUGCACCAUGUGUACAAUGUACAAUGCAAUUUGUGUCUCCUGCUACAUGUUUAUUUUUCUGCUGUUUAUGUCUUGGCAGAACUGAUUAGUUAUAAUUACUAUGAACAUUGUUGUGUAUGUUGUCAUACCAAGCCAAUUUGUAUCUAUGAACCUGGUGAUUUACCUUGAUCACUGAAUAAUGUAUAAUUAUGUUUAUGUAAAUUCAAUAUGUUUUAUCUA